rnacentral:misc_RNA from 1 species
UCUCCGUAGGUGAACCUGCGGAGGGAUCAUUACAGAGUUCUCGCCCUCGCGGGUAGAUCUCCCACCCACUGUUAUCGUUACUGUGUUGCUUUGGCGGGCCGCCGGGCCCCGCUCGGCCGCCGGCUCCGGCUGCCGCGCGCCCGCCAGAGCCCCAGCAUACUCUGAAUGUUAGUGUCGUCUGAGUACUAUAUAAUAGUUAAAACUUUCAACAACGGAUCUCUUGGUUCUG